UACGAAGGGGGCUAGCGUUGCUCGGAAUUACUGGGCGUAAAGCGUGCGUAGACGGUUAUCUAAGUCGGAUGUGAAAGCCCCGGGCUCAACCUGGGAAUUGCAUUCGAGACUGAAUAGCUAGGGUACGGUAGAGGGAAGUGGAAUUUCCGGUGUAGCGGUGAAAUGCGUAGAUAUCGGAAGGAACAUCAGUGGCGAAAGCGACUUCCUCGACCAGUACCGACGUUCAGGCACGAAAGCGUGGGGAGCAAACAGG
rnacentral:rRNA from 1 species